GACGAACGCUGGCGGCGUGCCUAAUACAUGCAAGUCGAGCGCAGGAAAUCAUCCGAACCUUUCGGGGGGACGUUGAUGGAAUGAGCGGCGGACGGGUGAGUAACACGUAAAGAACCUGCCCUCAGGUCUGGGAUAACCACGAGAAAUCGGGGCUAAUACCGGAUGGGUCAUCGGACCGCAUGGUCCGAGGAUGAAAGGCGCUUCGGCGCCGCCUGGGGAUGGCUUUGCGGUGCAUUAGCUAGUUGGUGGGGUGAUGGCCCACCAAGGCGACGAUGCAUAGCCGACCUGAGAGGGUGAUCGGCCACACUGGGACUGAGACACGGCCCAGAAUCCGACGGGAGGCAGCAGUAGGGAAUCUUCCACAAUGGACGAAAGUCUGAUGGAGCAACGCCGCGUGAACGAUGAAGGCCUUCGGGUCGUAAAGUUCUGUUGUAAGGGAAGAACAAGUGCCGCAGGCAAUGGCGGCACCUUGACGGUACCUUGCGAGAAAGCCACGGCUAACUACGUGCCAGCAGCCGCAGUAA
rnacentral:rRNA from 1 species